rnacentral:lncRNA from 1 species
UACUACUCAUGUUGGAUGACAUUCACCGAAGAUCACUCUCGGUUGGACUAUAGUUUAUUUUGAAUAAACACAAAUCCGAAUACUUUGCAAAAUGUUUCAAAGAAUUCAAGUAAUGUGAGUUGAUGAGUAAGACGUCUAAAGUAAUUACCUCCUUAGAUUUGAUCCAAGAUAAGGUAACACUUUAGAACAGUUUCCUUGAAAGAUAUCAAGGAAAUAAGCAUCAUAAGAUAAUAGAUUUCUCCAUUAGGAGAAGAACGAACUCGAAUAAGAUUUAGUUCGUUAGAUGUUAUCUAUUACCCA